UGGCUCAGAUUGAACGCUGGCGGCAUGCCUUACACAUGCAAGUCGAACGGCAGCGACGGGAGCUUGCUCCUGGUGGCGAGUGGCGAACGGGUGAGUAAUACAUCGGAACGUACCCUGAAGGUGGGGGAUAACGUAGCGAAAGUUACGCUAAUACCGCAUAUUCUGUGAGCAGGAAAGAGGGGGAUCGCAAGACCUCUUGCUUUAGGAGCGGCCGAUGUCGGAUUAGCUAGUUGGUGAGGUAAAGGCUCACCAAGGCGACGAUCCGUAGCGGGUCUGAGAGGAUGAUCCGCCACACUGGGACUGAGACACGGCCCAGACUCCUACGGGAGGCAGCAGUGGGGAAUUUUGGACAAUGGGCGCAAGCCUGAUCCAGCCAUGCCGCGUGAGUGAAGAAGGCCUUCGGGUUGUAAAGCUCUUUCGGUGGGGAAGAAAUUGCACAGGAUAAUACCUUGUGUAGAUGACGGUACCCGCAUAAGAAGCACCGGCUAACUACGUG
rnacentral:rRNA from 1 species